GACGAACUGUGCGAACGUUGUUCGGAAUCACUGGGCUUAAAGGGUGCGUAGGCGGCUCGUUAAGUCGGGGGUAAAAUACUUCGGCUCAACCGGAGAAUUGCCUUCGAUACUGGCGGGCUUGAGGAAGGUAGGGGUCGCGGGAACUGCCAGUGGAGCGGUGAAAUGCGUUGAUAUUGGCAGGAACGCCGGUGGUGAAGACGCGCGGCUGGACCUUUUCUGACGCUGAUGCACGAAAGCCAGGGGAGCAAACGGG
rnacentral:rRNA from 1 species